rnacentral:sRNA from 1 species
UGUGUUGGGCUACACACGUGCUACAAUGGUACUUACAGUGGGAUGCUAAGAGGCAACUCCAAGCCAACCCUUAAAGAAUACCUCAGUUCGGAUUGUACUCUGCAACUCGAGUACAUGAAGCUGGAAUUACUAGUAAUCGCAGAUCAGCGCGCUGCGGUGAAUACGUUCCCGGGUCCUGUACACACCGCCCGUCACACCAUGGAAGUUGGUUACACCUUAAGGCAAAGUGUAAAAUCUUUGACUACGGUACGAUCAGCGACUGGGGUGAAGUCGUAACAAGGUAGCCGUAGGGGAACCUGCGGCUGGAUCACCUCCUUUCUAAGGAAAUCGAAAAUAAUAUUUUCGAUUUAAAAAAAACCGGUAAUGUGACCGUCCUCAUUUCUCUUCUUUUAAUGUCUCUGACUAAAAAUAAUGUAAGGGGCCGGUAGCUCAGGUGGUUAGAGCGCACCCCUGAUAAGGGUGAGGUCGGAAGUUCGAAUCUUCCUCGGCCCACCAAUAUUAUGGGGGAUUAGCUCAGCUGGGAGAGCGCCUGAUUUGCAUUCAGGAGGUCAGCGGUUCGAUCCCGCUAUCCUCCACCAAAAUUUGAGACAUUUAGCUUUUUUAAAUUGUGAAUAAUUUUAUUAUCAAUAUCUAUAUCCGAUUGUUUUCAUAUAUUUUUUUGAAAACAAUCAAAACAAAAAUUUGAAUUUUACACAGAAAGUUUUUUUCUGUGCAUAAAUCAAGCGUUUAAGGGCGAUUGGCGGAUGCCUUAGCACUGUAAGACGAUGAAGGACGUGGUAUACUGCGAUAAGUUUCGGGGAG